AUAUUGGACAAUGGGGGAAACCCUGAUCCAGCAAUGCCGCGUGUGUGAAGAAGGCCUUAGGGUUGUAAAGCUCUUUCGCCCGCGAAGAUAAUGACGGUAGCGGGAGAAGAAGCCCCGGCUAACUCCGUGCCAGCAGCCGCGGUAAUACGGAGGGGGCUAGCGUUGUUCGGCAUUACUGGGCGUAAAGCGUACGUAGGCGGAUGCGCAAGUUGGGGGUGAAAUCCCGGGGCUCAACCUCGGAAUUGCCCUCAAAACUGCACGUCUUGAGACCGAGAGAGGUUAGGGGAAUUCCUAGUGUAGAGGUGAAAUUCGUAGAUAUUAGGAAGAACACCAGUGGCGAAGGCGCCUUACUGGCUCGGUACUGACGCUGAGGUACGAAAGCGUGGGGAGCAAACA
rnacentral:rRNA from 1 species